rnacentral:lncRNA from 1 species
GGAUAGUGGUUACUUAAUCAUUAACUAGGAUUGGCUAAAAUAACUCUUUGAUCUUAUGUUCUACCUCUAAGCGGAAGAGCAGAAGAAGGGGCUACCUCGCCUCUUGGCUGUUACACAUCCUGUCAGGAGUGUAUGCCCUUCACUGAAACAGAAUCACAGACACAACCUUUAGGCAGGAGUUUCCCACACAACCCUCUGUCAUUUUCCUGACCCUGAAAUCACUUGCUGAAUCAGGGCAACCCUACAUCUUGGUCUAAAAUGCCAGAGCAGUCAUCUUCCCUGAAUGGUGCAGGGAGCAAAACCUUUAUGAUGGAGGUAGACUCAGUAAUGCUGUAAAUUAUCCACUGUUAUAGGCCAUGGUCUACCCAAGGUCUACCCGGGUAGGUGGGGCUUGUUAGCCUUGGGAAGUCAGCCCAUCUAGGAAAAGGAAACUCUGAUUUCAGACCUUCACUGCCUUGUGGCUAUAUCCAUCAAUGGAAAAAGCUUCAGGAGUAAAUCUGGAGGCAAAAUCCAGAGCAGGAGUCCCAGAGGCACUGCCCUUGAUUCAAUUCCAUAUUACUACAUGGGGGGAUUUGCCAGAGACUGGCACCCUAUGAUUAAUUCUAACCAGAGUAGACUCAUUUACCUUGAAAGCCCUGUUGGUUCCAAUUUGACAGCACAGAACAACAACAAAGUCUUAGUUGAAACAAGGAAUUGGAUACUGGCCAGCGAAAGCUCGAGUGACCCCAAGAGAUGUCAGACUAGAGGUGACAGUCUGGAGUCAAGAUAAGGGAGGUGAUUAGAGAUUGGAAGAAGUGAUAUACCGGAAAUUCUACAUCCAUAAGACAUCUCCCUUUCCUGUGGAAAAUGUUGAUGGCAAGAUCUAACAUGGAGGUCAGAAGACAAGAGAUGUCUACAGUAGCAUAAGGUAUUGUAGAAGCAAAUGGGCUUCGUUAUUUUCCCUGUUAUUAUCACACCAUCAUGACAAAAGAUCAGGAAGUAGACCAUUCACAUCCCACUCCAAAAGCUAGCACAAAAAAAAAGCUAAUGGGGUUGCACUUCCUACUGGAACACAGCCAGAGGAAGAAUUUUAAAAAGCCAAAGCAUGCUGUUAGCCACAGUCAGUAGCAGGAAUGGAAGUAUUUACACAUGCAUAGG